UUUAGAACGUCGUGAGACAGUUCGGUCCCUAUCUGCCGUGGGCGCUGGAGAACUGAGGGGGGCUGCUCCUAGUACGAGAGGACCGGAGUGGACGCAUCACUGGUGUUCGGGUUGUCAUGCCAAUGGCACUGCCCGGUAGCUAAAUGCGGAAGAGAUAAGUGCUGAAAGCAUCUAAGCACGAAACUUGCCCCGAGAUGAGUUCUCCCUGAGACUUAGAGUCUCCUGAAGGAACGUUGAAGACGACGACGUUGAUAGGCCGGGUGUGUAAGCGCAGCGAUGCGUUGAGCUAACCGGUACUAAUGAACCGUGAGGCUUAACCUUACAACGCCGAAGCUGUU
rnacentral:rRNA from 1 species